rnacentral:lncRNA from 1 species
CGAAAACAUGAUUAUAACAGACACAAGCCUUGGCAUGCAUGCGGCUGCUGAUUGUGACUGAACUGAAUAUGUGAACGAGAGUUGAGAAGAAUUUUGCUGCCACCCUGACCGUCCUGCUAGCAAGUCGCUCUGACACGACUCAGACAUGGCAUUUCCAGUCUGAAUUAAAUAUUUACAGCACCAUAAGGAUUUUCUAUCAUCCUACAGGAAGCAUCGUACGAUGUCAUCCAUUUAAAGCAGUCGACCUGUCUUAAUGAUACUGACAGAUUCAUUUCGGCUGUCAACGAGCAGGUGCACAAAUACAGUAUUGUUUUAUAAUAACUAUUAAAAGCGGCGAUGUUUGCGUCUAUGAAAUGCGAAAAUGUUUGGAUGCUGGCCGGGAUAUUGAAACAUGACUGACUUUAGUUCCAGCAGAAGAAAAUUCAAAAAACAAAACAAAACAAAAGAGAAGGACGAGCCAAACUAUUAUCAAAAGACACAGGGAUGUUGCAUACACGCACAUGCUAACCUAGGCUCGCUUACAGAAACGCUUACAGACAAACUCACGAAGGUAAAUAUACGAGUUCAAAUUUCUUAAAAUCGGAGUGCCGUUUUUUUCUACAUGGAAACUUGGAUCGAUAUAAAAUAAGUGAAUCUCUGAAGUGAGAGAUUUGGAUUAUUUAAGGUAGUGGAAUAUCCUUGACUCUUUAGAACAGUAUUCUCUCCCUAUUUUAUCUUUAUAUAUAUAUAUAUAUUUAUAUAUAUUAGAAGGUUUGGAGGUGUUGUACAGGUAUUAUAUAUUAGAAGAAAUAAGGUACUCAGAAAUCUGGAUGGUUUUUAUACUUACAGAUUUUUAUUAAUAUGUCAUGUUUUUAUAAAUCAUAUAUUAGCGCUUCCAUCCACUCUAGUACAUUCUUCAUAUAUAUAUAUAUAUAUAUAUAUAUAUAUAUAUAUAUAUAUAUAUAUAUAUAUAUAUAUAUAUAUAUGUAUAUAUAUGUAUGUAUAUAUAUAUAUAUAAUAUAUAUAUAUAUACAAGGUUGGCCAAAAGUCACCCGAGUGUAAAUCAAAAUUCUAUAAAUACUAUCUGUAAUUCUGUAUUGACUCAAAUUUCAAAAAAAUUGUCGCUCUAGAAGGACUUCAGUUUGAACAAUUUUCAUGAUGUUUCAGAUUUAAAUGCUCUUAUUAGAUUCAUUCAGUUCUUGAGCAUGAAUAUAUAUUGGAAUUAAAUAGUUUUUAUAUACUGUCAGGUGACUUAUUAAAUUUCUUUAGGUAAACACACACAUAUACACACACGCGGCCAUUCACCAACAUGUGCACACACACAUAUACAUGUACAUAUAUAUUAUAAAUAUAAACAUUUAUAUAUAUAUAUAUAUAUAUAUAUAUAUAUAUAUAUAUAUAUACGCAUAUAUGACCCAGCAUUGCCGCAGUGUAAUGACAGUGUGAAACAAGUAUAUAUAUAUAUAUAUAUAUAUAUAUAUAUAUAAGAUUAAAAUCGAUAGAGGAACUCACAGAAAAAUUGCACACACGAUGUGGACAUGCUCCUCCCUCGUUACUCAUCGUCAGAAAGUCAUAACAAUAUCUCGUCUUUGUUUCAGUCAUAACUUAUCCAAGGCAGCGAGCUGGCAGGGUCGUUAGCACGCCGGACAAAACGCUCAGUGCUUUCUGCGUUUAAUUUCAGCCGAGAUCAACUUUGGCUUACAUCCUUCCGGUCUCGAUGAAAAAUGUACCAGUUGAAUAUUGGGUCGAAAUUGCUAACCUUCUGCCAAAAUUUGAAACUAUUAUUAUUAUUAUUAUUAUUAUUAUUAUUAUUAUUAUUAUUAUUAUUAUUAGUAUUAGUAGUAGUAGUAGUAGUAGUAGUAGUAGUAGUAGUAGUAGUACUAUUUAGUGAGAGAGCAGUGCAUGCCAUCAAAGUGACACUGGGGUAAAAUAUACGAAGCCCAGUAUACCCAUCAUGACUACCCGUCUGAUAAGGGUACACCAGGCACAUGCAUCACAUGCGUGGCAUGGGGAUCUCAUAUCAAGAUAAACAACACAUGACCUUGCAGGUGAAGCUCAGUUAGAAUUUUCUUCUGGUCGAGUAACCCAUCCCGCUCAAAAGGUCCCUGAAUAAGGGUUGCUUUCUCUAUGUACAAGUUGACUUCAAGUCUCACCCAGAGAGGUCCAAGUUGGUGUUAUGCCUACGGUGUCAUAUAUUUGGUUUUGUACAUAGUAUUGUUCUAGAAAAUGUUUAAGAAAACGUAAGAAAAUUAGGAGUUUGUUUUAAAAUUUGAGAUGACAUAGACAGUAAUUUACGUAGGAUACGGGUAUUUUCCAUGAGCACUAUCUUUUGAACUUCUGCCAUUUUUGUGGUUUCCUCGUAUCUGAGUUAGGUAUCAACCAGGCCCUUUUCUAUCAUUCCUAAGGCACCUAUGACAACAUGUAUUAUUUUAGUCUUCAGGUUUCACAUUUUACCAGUUUCUAUUUCAAGAUCUUUAUAUUUGCUCAGUCUUUGGUAGGUCUGGACAAAUAUAUUUAUGUC